GAGGAAGAAAAUGUUGAGAUUAAGCAAAAGCCAAAGUCAGAAAUUUCUUUACAGCUUCUAUUCUUCUAAGAACAAAGAUGGAAGAAAUUGCAAGAAAUUACCUGAAACUUAUAGCUUCAGAUCCCUUAAAUAAACCCACUGCCUCCAUUCUAGAUUUCCCACAACCAUUUUAUACCAAAAAUUGUUUUGGUUCCCAUAAACCAAAACCUGUUUGUUCAUAGGAUAGGUUGAUUUUCAAGUAGUUGUUGCUGCAAUUUUGACUAUUAGUAGAUAGAGUGGACAAGGAGAAUCAGGGAAAGGCCUUCAAUUCGUGUUUUUCUGUACUGCAUAGAAACCCAUCAGGAGAAAAACCGCGUGGCCCAACAGAGAGGAAGAAGUGUUGACGUCUGCGCGUGCAGUUCUCGCACUAAUGAGAUGCGGCUCCACACAUGGUUUCUUGCAGCGCGCGGUCGGCUCGGGUCGAUUUACUUCUUUGUGGGCCCGGUUCAGUGCCAUUUUUACUGGGUUCAGGUUUUUCGGCUCAAUUUGAAGUUUUUUCUUUUAAGGUUUUAGACAUCAGUUUUGGAGCUUUGGAAGCUGUUCUAGGAUAAUUUAUGGCUUAAUUAAUAUAUUUUUUGCUAUUUAGAUAAACUAAUGUAUGGUAUCAAUCAUUUUAUGAGUUAUUUAAUAUAUCUCCAUAGGUUAAAUAUAUGAAUUUGGAUAAACAUAAUGUAUAUUUAAAUUAAUGUUUUAUGUAUGCAUUUUCAUGCUUUUUAAUAGAAGUAUGAUAUUAAUUGAAUGAAAAUCAAUUUGCAUUCAACCUAUUA